rnacentral:rRNA from 1 species
CCUACGGGAGGCAGCAGUGGGGAAUAUUGGACAAUGGGGGCAACCCUGAUCCAGCCAUGCCGCGUGUGUGAAGAAGGCCCUCGGGUUGUAAAGCACUUUCAGUGAGGAAGAACGCCUGGUGGUUAAUACCCAUCAGGAAAGACAUCACUCACAGAAGAAGCACCGGCUAACUCCGUGCCAGCAGCCGCGGUAAUACGGAGGGUGCGAGCGUUAAUCGGAAUUACUGGGCGUAAAGCGCGCGUAGGUGGCUUGAUAAGCCGGUUGUGAAAGCCCCGGGCUCAGCCUGGGAACGGCAUCCGGAACUGUCAAGCUAGAGUGCAGGAGAGGAAGGUAGAAUUCCCGGUGUAGCGGUGAAAUGCGUAGAGAUCGGGAGGAAUACCAGUGGCGAAGGCGGCCUUCUGGACUGACACUGACACUGAGGUGCGAAAGCGUGGGUAGCAAACAGGAUUAGAUACCCGUGUAGUC